UGGGGAAUAUUGGACAAUGGGCGCAAGCCUGAUCCAGCCAUGCCGCGUGUGUGAUGAAGGCCUUAGGGUUGUAAAGCACUUUCGCCGAUGAAGAUAAUGACUGUAGUUGAAGAAGAAGCCCCGGCUAACUUCGUGCCAGCAGCCGCGGUAAUACGAAGGGGGCAAGCGUUGUUCGGAUUUACUGGGCGUAAAGCGUACGUAGGCGGAUGAUUAAGUCAGGGGUGAAAUCCCGGGGCUCAACCUCGGAACUGCCUUUGAUACUGGUCGUCUUGAGUCCGGGAGAGGUGAGUGGAACUCCUAGUGUAGAGGUGAAAUUCGUAGAUAUUAGGAAGAACACCAGUGGCGAAGGCGGCUCACUGGCCCGGAACUGACGCUGAGGUACGAAAGCGUGGGGAGCAAACAGGAUUAGAUACCCUGGUAGUCCACGCCGUAAACGAUGGAUGCUAGCCGUCGGGGAGCUUGCUCUUCGGUGGCGCAGCUAACGCAUUAAGCAUCCCGCCUGGGGAGUACGGUCGCAAGAUUAAAA
rnacentral:rRNA from 1 species